rnacentral:rRNA from 1 species
CGAACCGACUUACGUUGAAAAGUGAGCGGAUGAACUGAGGGUAGCGGAGAAAUUCCAAUCGAACCUGGAGAUAGCUGGUUCUCUCCGAAAUAGCUUUAGGGCUAGCCUCAAGUGAUGAUUAUUGGAGGUAGAGCACUGUUUGGACGAGGGGCCCCUCUCGGGUUACCGAAUUCAGACAAACUCCGAAUGCCAAUUAAUUUAACUUGGGAGUCAGAACAUGGGUGAUAAGGUCCGUGUUCGAAAGGGAAACAGCCCAGACCACCAGCUAAGGUCCCAAAAUAUAUGUUAAGUGGAAAAGGAUGUGGCGUUGCCCAGACAACUAGGAUGUUGGCUUAGAAGCAGCCAUCAUUUAAAGAGUGCGUAAUAGCUCACUAGUCGAGUGACACUGCGCCGAAAAUGUACCGGGGCUAAACAUAUUACCGAAGCUGUGGAUUGUCCUUUGGACAAUGGUAGGAGAGCGUUCUAAGGGCGUUGAAGCAUGAUCGUAAGGACAUGUGGAGCGCUUAGAAGUGAGAAUGCCGGUGUGAGUAGCGAAAGACGGGUGAGAAUCCCGUCCACCGAUUGACUAAGGUUUCCAGAGGAAGGCUCGUCCGCUCUGGGUUAGUCGGGUCCUAAGCUGAGGCCGACAGGCGUAGGCGAUGGAUAACAGGUUGAUAUUCCUGUACCACCUAUAAUCGUUUUAAUCGAUGGGGGGACGCAGUAGGAUAGGCGAAGCGUGCGAUUGGAUUGCACGUCUAAGCAGUAAGGCUGAGUAUUAGGCAAAUCCGGUACUCGUUAAGGCUGAGC